UACGGGGGGAGCAAGCGUUGUUCGGAAUUACUGGGCGUAAAGGGCUCGUAGGCGGCCAACUAAGUCGGAUGUGAAAUCCCCAGGCUCAACCUGGGAACUGCAUCCGAUACUGGAUGGCUUGAAUCCGGGAGAGGGAUGCAGAAUUCCAGGUGUAGCGGUGAAAUGCGUAGAUAUCUGGAGGAAUACCGGUGGCGAAGGCGGCAUCCUGGACCGGCAUUGACGCUGAGGAGCGAAAGCCAGGGGAGCAAACGGG
rnacentral:rRNA from 1 species